rnacentral:rRNA from 1 species
UACAGAGGCCUCAAGCGUUGUCCGGAUUCAUUGGGCGUAAAGGGUGCGUAGGUGGCGCCGUAAGUCAGGUGUGAAAUUUCGGAGCUUAACUCCGAAACUGCAUUUGAUACUGCGGUGCUUGAGGACUGGAGAGGAGACUGGAAUUUACGGUGUAGCAGUGAAAUGCGUAGAGAUCGUAAGGAAGACCAGUGGCGAAGGCGGGUCUCUGGACAGUUCCUGACACUGAGGCACGAAGACCAGGGGAGCAAACGGG